GGUCCCGUGGCUCAACUGAAUAGAGCACCACACUACGGAUGUGGGGGUUGUGGGUUUGAAUCCCGCCGGGAUCA
rnacentral:tRNA from 1 species